rnacentral:lncRNA from 1 species
GCUGCCUUGGCUACAUUUUCUUCUUCCCGAUCCAUGAUGGACUGCCCUAUUUUCAUGGGGCGUUGGCAGGCACAUGGACCCUUUAAGGGUCCACAUUUUUAGCACAGUGUAUAAGGGACAUUGUAGCAGCUACAGUGUCCCGAUAUCUGGCGAAUGCGGGCGCACAACAAGUUUUGACGGUUGUGGAUCCAAUAAGAGAGAGGGUGUUAUGAAAUGCUGGGAGUUAUUUUCUAAAUAGGAUACAGAG